UUACGUCCGGCGCGUCCGCCGACUGACGCCAGCGCCCGUUUGUCUACCUCUUUUGCGGUGCCCAUUGGCUUGGCUGCGGUACCUCCUGCCGCGUCUCUUUUUGGAGAAGCGCAGUCAUUGGCGCCGGGGCUUGGUGGUCGCCGGUGAGCGGGCAGGGUGGGCCGGGGCUGCUGUGUGGUUGGGAGGCCGCGGUCUCUGCUCAGUGGAGCGGCGUUGAGCACCCGGCCAGCGGCGCGGUUCUCCUGCCCUCGGCUCCGGGCGGCCCGCCUGCCCCACGCAGUUGAGGAUCUCGAGCCUGGGACAAUGGUGUGCAUUCCCUGCAUUGUCAUUCCAGUUCUGCUCUGGGUCUACAAAAAAUUCCUGGAACCAUAUAUAUACCCUCUCAUCUCCCCCUUUGUUAGCCGUAUGUGGCCUAAGAAAGCUGUACGAGACUGCAAUGAUAAAAACAAAGGCAAAGUGGACUAUAAGGGUGCAGACAUAAAUGGAUUACCAACAAGAGGACCAACAGAAAUCUGUGAUAAAAAGAAAGACUAAAGUGGUUGUCCCAAAGGAUCUCAUUGUUUUAAAAAUGGACCUGAUAAUAUGAAGCAUCUUGUUUAUAAUUGUCACUGAUCUUUUUCCCUAAGACCAGAAUCGGGAUAGAUAGUUUAGAUAUUUACCUGACACUAAUCAGAAAUCCCUGGUAUUUGUAUUUAAAAUGUAGUUAGUUAUAUUUAAUGAUCUCAUUCCUGAGUUCUUUUUCAUUAAUGUAGAUUUCUUUUCUUGCAGUUUUUAAAAUCUGAAUAAAUAGAAGGUUUGUGCAAGUAGACACUGUUACUAAAUCGGUACCUAAAAAUCCUUGGGCCUCUAGCUUUUAUUCAGGCUCUUCAAAUUUGAGGAGUAUAAUUUUACUGUGAAACAAUGCAAUGAGACUGCAGUGAAAUGAAAGGUAGUUUUUGGAGAUGAUAAGACUUGAAACAAAGAUGUAAUUACUGUCCAACUCAGUGGAGCAGCUUAUCUGUAAGAGUAGUAAUUACUGUUUAUUGCUCUAAGGAAGAGAGAGAAAAAAGUUAGUAGGAGAAACUUCUUUGAAAAAUGGAACAUCUUUCACAUAAAUGUCUAAUAUAUAUUAUGAAAUUAUAAUUAUUGUUGCAUUCCUUCUACUCUAAGAAUGUAUUAAAUACUCAGUUUAGCUUGUG